rnacentral:tmRNA from 1 species
GGGGGCGACAGGUUUCGACAGAGCCGUCCUGCUCUCGGAUGCGAGCCGAGGCGCCGCUGGCCUCGUAAAAAGCGGCAAAACAAGUAAUUGCGAAAAACGAUUACGCUCUCGCUGCCUAACUUAGUUAGACAGUAGCCCCGCAGGGCCGAGCCGGUAGGCUCUGCGACGGUUAGCCAAAUCCGGAUAGCGCGCUAAGCCGCCACCCGAGGCGAGGCGUUGCGAAACCAAUCGGGCAUGUCGUCUGGUGGCCCGUUCACCGGCAGCCUUUCGACGAGAUUAAUGGUGAACUACGCUCGUAGCAGCCCUGAGUAACGCGACUUUGGAAGGGGGUUCGAAUCCCCCCGCCUCCACCA